rnacentral:lncRNA from 1 species
UUUUGCCAUCCCUAAUUUUAGAGCCCCAUCCCACACGAGACCACGUCCCAUCCCAUGGUUUUCUCCAAUGACAUCCCCUUCCCUCGGUCGCAAAGCUCACUAUCAAAUUUCUGCAUUUGUUUCCUGCUUCGUGCCAACCAUGACUCUUUUUCUUUGUUUUUUUGGAUAAAGGGCAUCGCCCGACAAGCUAAUAUAACCACAAACAAAAAUCACAACCCCACAAACAAAAAUUACAAUCCAUGGGUUGCGAUUUUUGUUUGUGCUUAUAUUGGUUUGCCGGAAAAAAUGGGGGAAAAGGGGUUUUGAUGGACCUGGACUGAAUCGCUUACGUACUUGUGCAGAUUGAAUGUAAAAUGGGGGGAAAAGGGUUACGAAGAGCUCCAGCUAUUGUUCCUAAUCAAAUGGAUCCAAGUGUUGGUUUAAUUUAACGAUUGAGCUAUUCUUCUGCACACAAGCUUUUAUUUGGCAUUAUACCUUGUUAUGCUGUUGAAUCAUUCAUUUAAAUUGUUGUUUCUGAUUGUUAAAGAUUUGAGGUUCACCGUGACCCAAGUCGUAGAGGCUGACAACCUCUAUAGAAGGGGCUGUCAAGAUUUAAUUAAAAAAUGCAUAAGAUAUCACAAACCAUAAACCGGAGAACCA